UAUUGUGUUAUUUUUUACAGUUUUUAACACUUUUCAUCCAGUCCUUCCAAUUGCAGAGUUUACUGGUGCUAGGCUAGCGCAAGUCAACAGUAUCUGCUAGCCCGCCAUUA